rnacentral:rRNA from 1 species
UACGAAGGGGGCUAGCGUUGCUCGGAAUCAUUGGGCGUAAAGCGCGUGUAGGCGGUCCGGUAAGUCCGCUGUGAAAGUCGAGGGCUCAACCCUCGAAUGCCGGUGGAUACUGUCGGGCUUGAGUACGGGAGAGGCGAGUGGAAUUCCUGGUGUAGCGGUGAAAUGCGCAGAUAUCAGGAGGAACACCGAUUGCGAAGGCAGCUCGCUGGAACGUUACUGACGCUGAGACGCGAAAGCGUGGGGAGCAAACAGG